rnacentral:rRNA from 1 species
AUUGAACGCUGGCGGCAGGCUUAACACAUGCAAGUCGAGCGAGCGGCGGACGGGUGAGUAAUGUCUGGGAAACUGCCUGAUGGAGGGGGAUAACUACUGGAAACGGUAGCUAAUACCGCAUACCAUCAGAUGUGCCCAGAUGGGAUUAGCUAGUAGGUGGGGUAAUGGCUCACCUAGGCGACGAUCCCUAGCUGGUCUGAGAGGAUGACCACCCACACUGGAACUGAGACACAGUCCAGACUCCUACGGAAUGCAGCAGUGGAGAAUAUUGCACAAUGGGCGCAAGCCUGAUGCAGCCAUGCCGCGUGUGUAAAAAAGGCCUUCGGGUUGUAGAGCACUUGCAGCGAGGAGGCGUUACUCGCAGAAGAAGCCACGGCUAACUACGUGCCAGCAGCCACGGUAAUUC